rnacentral:rRNA from 1 species
AUUGAACGCUGGCGGUAGGCCUAACACAUGCAAGUCGAACGGCAGCACAGUAAGAGCUUGCUCUUACGGGUGGCGAGUGGCGGACGGGUGAGGAAUACAUCGGAAUCUACUUUUUCGUGGGGGAUAACGUAGGGAAACUUACGCUAAUACCGCAUACGACCUACGGGUGAAAGCAGGGGAUCUUCGGACCUUGCGCGAUUGAAUGAGCCGAUGUCGGAUUAGCUAGUUGGCGGGGUAAAGGCCCACCAAGGCGACGAUCCGUAGCUGGUCUGAGAGGAUGAUCAGCCACACUGGAACUGAGACACGGUCCAGACUCCUACGGGAGGCAGCAGUGGGGAAUAUUGGACAAUGGGCGCAAGCCUGAUCCAGCCAUACCGCGUGGGUGAAGAAGGCCUUCGGGUUGUAAAGCCCUUUUGUUGGGAAAGAAAAGCAGCAGGUUAAUACCCCGCUGUUCUGACGGUACCAAAAGAAUAAGCACCGGCUAACUUCGUG